UUGCUCCUUCAGCACAUUUACUGAAAUUGGAAAAAUACAGAGAUUAGCAUGUCCCCUAUGCAAGGAUGACACACACAUUUGUGAAGCAUUCCAUAUUUAU
ensembl:snRNA U6 U6 spliceosomal RNA